UGGUACAAAUACGGCUGGUAAGGCUGAUUUCAAGAGACAACAGUGGUCUUUGGAAACUGGCAGAUAUUCAAAGAGGAAUUUCAGAGAAAGGAUUAAGAUGGCUUGGUGACAGAUGGCUGGAAUCCUGUGGCACGGAAGUGGCUGAGGAGAUCAGGGAGGAAUAAGAGAUGGGGGGCUGCCUUAAGGAGCUCACAACCUAAUUGGGAAGGUCUUGCAGCUCGAACACUGAAUGCUUUCUGGGACUGUCAGGAUUACUUACUACUCCAAGUGAUGGUUUUGAGGAUCCAGGCACUGCUUUUCCUGUGGAGAGUCAGCAGAUACCACAGUUGACUUCUGAAGGGAGGAAGGCUGGCCAAACAGAAGAGAUUGGUUUCACUUCUGAAGCUGUGUUGCAUGAGACCAACCCCAUGGAUAUGACAGACAUAGGAGUGUUAAUUUCCAGUGCUGUGCCCUAAGCAAACCUUUUGGAGAAUACACUAUGUGCCCAAAA